rnacentral:rRNA from 1 species
AUUGAACGCUGGCGGCAGGCCUAACACAUGCAAGUCGAGCGAGCGGCGGACGGGUGAGUAAUGUCUGGGAAACUGCCUGAUGGAGGGGGAUAACUACUGGAAACGGUAGCUAAUACCGCAUACCAUCAGAUGUGCCCAGAUGGGAUUGGCUAGUAGGUGGGGUAACGGCUCACCUAGGCGACGAUGCCUAGCUGGUCUGGGGGGAUGAACAGCCGCACUGGAACUGAGACACGGGCCUGACUCCUACGGGAGGAAGCAGUGGGGAAUAUUGCACUAUGGGAGCAAGCCUGAUGCAGCCAUGCCGCGUGUGUGAAGAAGGCAUUCGGGUUGUAAAGCACUUUCCGCGGGGAGGCGUUACCCGCAGAAGAAGCACCGGCUAACUACGUGCCAGCCGCCGCGGUAAUAC